UGGUGAACAACCUAACAACAACACUUCAAACCAACAGUUACGCAAACAAAAUACGCCCAAAAAGCAUUCGUCAUAACACUGGGUUUGGCAGCUCGAUGUGGCAGAAAACUGAAGAUAACACACUUCAAAAACAGUUGGCCACUCUGAAGACAAUCAGUACCUCAGCCACAGAUAUUAAACCCGGUUAAUCAAAUGGACAAAUGAACAUGAACACAUGGCUUUACCACAUCCUAGUUAGAUGAUUGAAAAGGGCUUUAUUCAGUCAAUCUAUUUAUCAGGUAGGGAUGAUAUGCCGUCAUAAUAACGAGUGAAAGCAUUAAAUCCUGAAUUGGUUUGGUCAAAGAGAUAAAGUGUUGAGAAUCUUUAAAGGAGCUAAAAUACGAUUUAGCACACGUAGCUGUAUCUGUGGGUUUCUCUUGUAAGGUCUUGGUGUCACUAUAAGAGUCAGGGGAUGAUUCAUGCUCUGUUUUGUCAUUAAGAGUUGGAUCAGGUCAGUAUCGGAGGUAUAGCAUGAUGCUGACUGGUCAUUAGCGACUUCUGAAGCUGUGUAAAUCUGUACCACUGUAUUUAAAUGAUGUAAAUGUAAUAAUGUAAAUGUUGCUGUCAGUGGAUUAUUACUGCAGAGUUUGCAAAGUUCCCAGCAUUUAUUGAUUCUUUUGAAUUUUUAUGAAUUCAUUGACAGUAUUAAUUGUCUGUUUCUGUUCUAAGUAUAAAGUGUUGUGUAAGUUUGUACCUUUCAGAUCAACAACAGGAACAAGUUCACAAUCAGA